AAUCCAUGGUGUGGACACUGAUUUAUGUAUGUCCUGAAUCGCUCCCAUGCUUCUGCAAAAGUUUCAUUGGAGUGCUGUGUGAAACUACAGAUCUGGUUUCUAAGCUU
rfam:Eutrema salsugineum unplaced genomic scaffold scaffold_23, whole genome shotgun sequence.